UAUAGAUGGAUCCGCGCUGCAUUAGCUAGUUGGUAAGGUAACGGCUUACCAAGGCAACGAUGCAUAGCCGACCUGAGAGGGUGAUCGGCCACACUGGAACUGAGACACGGUCCAGACUCCUACGGGAGGCAGCAGUAGGGAAUCUUCCGCAAUGGGCGAAAGCCUGACGGAGCAACGCCGCGUGAGUGAUGAAGGUCUUCGGAUCGUAAAACUCUGUUAUUAGGGAAGAACAUAUGUGUAAGUAACUGUGCACAUCUUGACGGUACCUAAUCAGAAAGCCACGGCUAACUACGUGCCAGCAGCCGCGGUAAUACGUAGGUGGCAAGCGUUAUCCGGAAUUAUUGGGCGUAAAGCGCGCGUAGGCGGUUUUUUAAGUCUGAUGUGAAAGCCCACGGCUCAACC
rnacentral:rRNA from 1 species